rnacentral:rRNA from 1 species
CAAUAGCGUAUAUUAAAGUUGUUGCGGUUAAAAAGCUCGUAGUUGGAUUUCUUCCAGGGGCAGCCGGUCCACACUACGUGUGCGUAUCUGGUUUGACUUUGGAAUCCUCUUGGGGAACGGCUCUGCGCUUAAUUGCGUGGACCGGUAUUCAAGACUUUUACUUUGAGGAAAUUAGAGUGUUCACGGCAGGCAAUCGCCCUGAAUACAUUAGCAUGGAAUAAUAAUAUAGGAUUUCGGUUCUAUUUUGUUUGGUUUCUUAGAGCUGAAAUAAUGAUUAAUAGGGACAAUUGGGGCGAUUCGUAUCAACACGUUAGAGGUGAAAUUACUUGGAUCGUGUUG